UACGGAGGGGGCUAGCGUUGUUCGGAAUUACUGGGCGUAAAGCGCGUGUAGGCGGCUUUGCAAGUCGGAUGUGAAAGCCCACGGCUCAACCGUGGAAGUGCAUCCGAAACUGCAUGGCUGGAGUCUCGGAGAGGAAGGUGGAAUGCUUGGUGUAGAGGUGAAAUUCGUAGAUAUCAAGCAGAACACCUGCGGCGAAGGCGGCCUUCUGGACG
rnacentral:rRNA from 1 species